AGAACGAACGCUGGCGGCAUGCCUAAUACAUGCAAGUCGAACGAACACUUCGGUGUUAGUGGCGCACGGGUGCGUAACGCGUGGGAAUCUGCCCUUGGGUUCGGAAUAACAGUUGGAAACGACUGCUAAUACCGGAUGAUAUCGAAAGAUCAAAGAUUUAUCGCCCAGGGAUGAGCCCGCGUAGGAUUAGCUAGUUGGUGAGGUAAAGGCUCACCAAGGCGACGAUCCUUAGCUGGUCUGAGAGGAUGAUCAGCCACACUGGGGACUGAGACCACCGGCCCAGACCUCCGU
rnacentral:rRNA from 1 species